rnacentral:tRNA from 1 species
GCGUGGGUAGUUUAUCGGUAGAAUAUCGCGUUGCCAACGCGGUGAGCCGGGUUCGAUUCCCGGUCUGCGCA